UCCCCCUACGGGACGCAGCAGUGGGGGAUAUUGCACAAUGGGGGGAACCCUGAUGCAGCGACGCCGCGUGGGUGAAGAAGCGCCUCGGCGCGUAAAGCCCUGUCAGCAGGGAAGAAAAUGACGGUACCUGAAGAAGAAGCCCCGGCUAACUACGUGCCAGCAGCCGCGGUAAUACGUAGGGGGCAAGCGUUAUCCGGAAUUAUUGGGCGUAAAGAGUACGUAGGUGGUUUUGUAAGCGCGGGGUGAAAGGCAGUGGCUUAACCAUUGUAAGCCUUGCGAACUGCAAGACUUGAGUGCAGGAGAGG
rnacentral:rRNA from 1 species